rnacentral:tmRNA from 1 species
GGGGUCGACAUGGUUUCGACUUCGCUGGUUGAGCCAGGGGAAGCGUGCCGGUGCAGGCCACGACCACCGUAAGCGUCGUUGCACUUUCAUAAGCGCCGAGAACACUCAGCGCGACUUCGCCCUCGCUGCCUAAUCAGCGACCGCAAGUCUGUCGGUCCGGGUUCGUCCCUGACCCGGUAACCGGCAUCGACUAAGGGACUUGCUUUCCGGUUUCGCCCCAAGGGCCGGAAAGGACAUCUACUUGAGGCUGGGCCCAUCAUCCGGAACGUGUUCGUCCGAGCCGGAGGGUCAAGCAGAGAUCCAGCGCGAACUGCGCACGGAGAAGCCCUGGCAAGAUAGCGAAGGACGCGGGUUCAAUUCCCGCCGGCUCCACCG